UACGUAGGGACCAAGCGUUGUUCGGAUUUAUUGGGCGUAAAGGGCGCGUAGGCGGCUUAACAAGUCACUUGUGAAAUCUCCGGGCUUAACUCGGAGCGGUCAAGUGAUACUGUCGUGCUAGAGUGCAGAAGGGGCAACUGGAAUUCUUGGUGUAGCGGUGAAAUGCGUAGAUAUCAAGAGGAACACCUGAGGUGAAGACGGGUUGCUGGGCUGACACUGACGCUGAGGCGCGAAAGCUAGGGGAGCAAACGGG
rnacentral:rRNA from 1 species